rnacentral:lncRNA from 1 species
CGAACGGCCGGCAGCCCGGCUCGCGCUGCAUCCGAACGGCCGGCAGCCCGGCUCGCGUGGGGUAGUCCGAGCAGCUGGCGCUUCGCACCGGCUCUUUCUGCUCUGUGCCGCCGCUCCGGCGCUGCUCGUGCCAGGCGGGAAGAGCGCCGGGAGCGGGAUGGAUGCCUGCCGUUCUGCCUCCUCUUGCCUCGUGUCGGGAAAUGGAGGCAAGCGCCGUGCCCGGGCUCGAGGCAGGGAAUUGCACCAGUGGCGGCAGCUGCCGCCUCCCCGGCAGGGUGCGCAGGCCUCGCCGCGUCCGGGCGGCGGCGAGGAGGAGGAGGAGGAGGAGGCCGGGGCUGCCGGACCCGUGCGGUCCUGCAGGUGCCGGCGAGGCAGGGGACGGCACAGCCCCUGCUCCGGCUUCGAGUCAACGCUUUCAGAGUCCUAAAAGCAAAGCUGGAGAUUCGGAGGGAGCAGCCAGCAGCCCCGCGCACCCCUGCAGGGGCUAAAACCAGCCAUCAGGCCAAAAAAGAAAAGGAAAGCGGAGCCGGGCGUCCGAGGUCAGCAGAUCCCAGCCGGCACCCCGGGCGAGAGGUCCUGGCAGCGGGGUACCGUCGCCUCCGGGACGCGCGGGCAGCGCUGAAGCCUCGCCGUCUCUCACGCCACAACGUCUGUAGCGCUGCAGGCGGGCAGGUCCCGGGAUGGGGCUCGGCRCCGGCGCGCCGUCACACGGGGACCGGCCUCAGCUUCCCUGGAAAGGAGCCCCAGCGGGGUUAGGCCGCGGCGGAGGCGGCCGGCGCAUGAGGCCCCGGCGUUUUGGCACCCCUGAGGCCCGAGCGGCCGCCACCGCGGCCCAGCCAAGCCCCCUCGCCAUUAAAGCGUGCGCCGAAGYGGCGCCCUCCACCGGCACCGCUGCCCUCGGCCCGGCUUCCUCGCUCGCCCRCCCGCACUCACCUGGAGGCCGGGGCUGCCCCUAAUUCACGCUGAAAUCAAARGGGAGAGAGAGGUUCGUCGCCGGCUCGGGGCCGGGCCCGGGCGGCAUUUUGGUCCCACGUCCCCCCUCCCCGGCGCCGCGGUUCGGAGCAGCGGGGCGGCUUCCGCUUCGCUCGCGGGCCUCUGCCCGCUGAUUAGCGCUUGGCCGACGAGCCGACUGCGCAGGCCGG